CGUGUAGGCGGUCAGGUAAGUGAGAUGUGAAACGCCCCGGCUCACCCGGGGACCUGCAUCUCAAACUGCCUGGCUUGAGUACGGGAGAGGAUGAGGGAAUUCCUGGUGUAGCGGUGAAAUGCGUAGAUAUCAGGAGGAACACCGGUGGCGAAAGCGCUCAUCUGGCCCGAUACUGACGCUGAGGCGCGAAAGCUAGGGGAGCAAACGGGAUUAGAUACCCCGGUAGUCCUAGCCGUAAACGGUGAGCACUAGGUGUUGGGAGGCAUCGACCCCUCCAGUGCCGCAGCUAACGCAUUAAGUGCUCCGCCUGGGGAGUACGGCCGCAAGGUUGAA
rnacentral:rRNA from 1 species